rnacentral:rRNA from 1 species
UACAGAGGUCUCAAGCGUUGUUCGGAUUCAUUGGGCGUAAAGAGCUCGUAGGCGGCUCAGUAAAGUCGGGUGUGAAACCUCCAGGCUCAACCUGGAGACGCCAUCCGAUACUGCUGUGGCUAGAGUCCGGUAGGGGAGCGUGGAAUUCCUGGUGUAGCGGUGAAAUGCGCAGAUAUCAGGAGGAACACCAGCGGCGAAGGCGGCGCUCUGGGCCGGAACGACGCUGAGGAGCGAAAGCGUGGGGAGCGAACAGG